rnacentral:rRNA from 1 species
AUUGAACGCUGGCGGCAUGCUUUACACAUGCAAGUCGAACGGUAACAGGGUGCUUGCCCCGCUCGCGAGUGGCGAACGGGAGAGAAAAGCGUCGGAAUGUCCCGAGUAAUGGGGGAUAACUCAUCGAACGGUGGGCUAAUACCGCAUCCGCUCUGAGGAGAAACGCUGGGGCACGAAAGACCUGGCGUUCUUCGGGCGGCCGACUGUCGGAUUAGCUAGUUGGUGGGGUAAAGGCCCACCAAGGCGACGAUCAGUAGCGGGUCGGAGAGGAUAGGCCGCCACACUGGGGCUGAGACACGGCCCAGAGUCCUACGGGAGGCAGCAGUGGGGAAUUUUGGACAAUGGGGGCAACCCUGAUCCAGCCAUUCCGCGUGUGUGAAGAAGGCCUUCGGGUUGUAAAGGACUUUUUUUAGGGAGGAAACGCUUCAGGUUAAGAUCGAGUAAUGGUGAGGGUACCGGAAGAAUAAGCACCGGCUAACUACGUGCCAGCCGCCGCAGUAACAC